AUUGAACGCUGGCGGCAUGCCUAACACAUGCAAGUCGAACGGAAACGAUGAAGAGCUUGCUCUUCAGGCGUCGAGUGGCGGACGGGUGCGUAACGCGUAGGAAUCUACCUUAUAGUGGGGGACAACUCGAGGAAACUCGAGCUAAUACCGCAUAAUCCUUACGAGGGAAAGCAGGGGAUCUUCGGACCUUGUGCUAUUAGAUGAGCCUGCGUCGGAUUAGCUAGUUGGUAGGGUAAUGGCCUACCAAGGCAACGAUCCGUAGCUGGUCUGAGAGGACGACCAGCCACACUGGGACUGAGACACGGCCCAG
rnacentral:rRNA from 1 species